UACGAGGGGUGCAAGCGUUGUUCGGAAUCACUGGGCGUAAAGGGAGCGCAGGCGGAGGUGCAAGCAAUCUGUACAAUCCCGGGGCCCAACCCCGGUCCUGCAGAUUGGACUGCAUUUCUUGGAUAGUUCAGGGGCAAGCGGAAUUCCUGGUGUAGCGGUGGAAUGCGUAGAGAUCAGGAAGAACACCGAUGGCGAAGGCAGCUUGCUGGGGACUUAUCGACGCUCAGGCUCGAAAGCGCGGGUAG
rnacentral:rRNA from 1 species